CUUGAACCGGUCCAGGACGGCUUUUCCCUGCAUAUAUCGCUACUCAACAUUAAUGUCAACUCGAGCAUUUGUCUGAAAACACAACGGAGCUCCGAGCACGGGUACUUUAAUCAACCCAGUGAGGUUUAGAGUCUGACCCACGUACAGACAGCGCAGUGGGGAUCCCCACUGAGACCACUCGAACCAGCGCUGCAGUCCCUCGUCAGCUGCAGACAGACAGACAUCCGAUCUACAGGUCACAGGUGAUUAUUGAGUUUCCAGCUCUCAGUGGAAUGAUGUGUGAAGUCAUGGAACUGGCUACUCUGGGCCGUCCUUUCCAGCUAGGAAUGCUGUAUGACUGCCGGUCAGAUACUCUGAUCCCAGACAUCACCUUGUGGGAUUCACAGACACUGCAAAACAACCUCAGUAGUCGGGAUCAUCCCAGCACUGAGUUUCACAUCAUCACAUCAGACUCCAUGGAGAAGAAAGUUGCCGCACUCAAUGUGUCGGAAUCACUGAAAGCAAGUCUGCUGAGUGGUGCAGUGGAGGUGAAAGGAUCAGCAAAAUAUCUCACUGACACAAAGGAAUCAAAACAACAGGCACGAGUUACCCUUCAGUACAA